AUGGAGUCUCACUCUGUUGUCCAGGCUGGAGUGCAGUGGCGCAAUCUUGGCUCCCUGCCACCCCCACCUCCGGGGUUCAAGUGAGUCUCCUGCCUCAGCCUCCCGAGUAGCUGGGAUUACAGGUGCCCGCCACCACGCCUGGCUAAUUUUUGGUUUUUUUAUUAUUAUUAUACUUUAAGUUCUAGGGUACAUGUGCACAACGUGCAGGUUUGUUACAUAUGUAUACAUGUGCCAUGUUGGUGUACUGCACCCAUUAACUCGUCAUUUACAUUCCGUAUAUCUCCUAAUGCUAUCCCUCCCCCCACCCCCCAACAAUAGGACCCGGUGUGCGAUGAUCCCCUUCCUGUGUCCAAGUGAUCUCAUUGUUCGAUUCCCACCUAUGAGUGAGAACAUGUGGUAUUUGGUUUUCUGUUCUUGCGAUAGUUUGCUGACAAUGAUGGUUUCCAGCUGCAUCCAUGUCCCUACAAAGGACACGAACUCAUCCUUUUUUAUGGCUGCAUAGUAUUCCAUGGUGUAUAUGUGCCACAUUUUCUUAAUCCAGUCUGUCACUGAUGGACAUUUGGGUUGACUCCAAGACUUUGCUAUUGUGAAUAGUGCUGCAAUAAACAUAUGUGUUCAUGUG